CCUAUUGGAGCAGCCUCCCAACUCCUACUUGCGUGCAAGCAGGAGCGGGGUGGGGAUCUUUCAGUUAGGCAACGGGAAGCCUCCCUUCCCAGCUGAGGGAUCCCCGCCCCUUCCUGCUUGCAUGCAAGUAGGAAUGGGAUUGGGGCUGCUCUGAUGGG
rnacentral:miRNA from 1 species